GCUGAUAGGGCUGCUAAGUAGGCCAUUUUGAUAUAAUGGUGUGUAAAGUUAAUUCUUUCGUCGGUA
rnacentral:tRNA from 1 species